GAGGGUAUAGCUCAGUGGUAGAGCUCAUGCUUAGCAGGCGUGAGGUCCUGGGUCCGAUACCCAGUACCUCCA
rfam:Camelus ferus unplaced genomic scaffold scaffold535, whole genome shotgun sequence.